UGGGUUUCACAUACCAGUCCCUGCUGAUCGGGGGAGGCUGGAUGAUGUGGCCUGCCUUGUAGAGAUGGUCGAAGUUGUACUGGCUAUAAGGGGUGCUGGGGAGCCCUCGCUGCCAUACCACCUCCUGAGAAAAGAGAAAGAGAUCACAAGCAGACAGAGAGAGAGAAGCAGGCUCCCCGCCAAGCAGAGAGCCCAACGCGGGGCUUGAUCCCAGGACCCCGAGAUCAUGACUUGAGCGGAUGGCAGAGGCUUCACCCACCGAGCCACCCAGAUUUCAAAUUGAGGUCCAGAGAGAAGAGACACAAUGAAGAUCACAGUACUGGUUAAUCCCUGAAGCAAUUCUAACCCUUUUGACACCUAAUCCAAAGGAUUUUCUACUACUUCAGACUGCUUUUCAUCAUUCAGCUGACGCUAAAAGCUCCUUUCAGAUACUGUAGGCUCCAUGCCCAGUGUGGAGUCCAAGGUGACUCUAAGAUUAAGACCUGAGCUGAGAUCAAGAGUCAGAGGCUCAACCAACAGAGCCACCCAGGUGCUCCAGCCAUGUUAUUCCUGAUAAAAAUUCUGGGUAAAGAAGAAAAUUAAAACUACCCAAACUACCCCAAUGCCUAAGAAAUAACAGUGUGGAUAACUGCUGACUAGUCUAUUUUUUUUUAAUGUAUUGACACACAUUUUUAAAGGUUAUAUGGAUCUCUACCUGCUUUCAGUGUCGUGAAAAUUUCCCCAUCAUAUUCUGCUACAGCAUCUCUAAUGGCUACAUAUCUUCUGUUAUAUGACUGCAUCACAAUUAAAUUGAUUAGACCAAAUUUA